rnacentral:tRNA from 1 species
UCCCUGCUGGCUCAGUCAGUGAAGAAUCCACCUGCAAUGUGGGAGACCUGGGUUCGAUCCCUGGGUUGGGAA